CGCGGCCUAUCAGCUUGUUGGCGAGGUAACGGCUCACCAAGGCGACGACGGGUAGCUGUUCUGAGAGGAAGAUCAGCCACACUGGGACUGAGACACGGCCCAGACUCCUACGGGAGGCAGCAGUGGGGAAUCUUGCGCAAUGGGCGAAAGCCUGACGCAGCAACGCCGCGUGGGGGAUGACGGCCUUCGGGUUGUAAACCUCUUUCAGCAGGGACGAAGCGAAAUUGACGGUACCUCCAGAAGAAGCCCCGGCCAACUACGUGCCAGCAGCCGCGGUAAUACGUAGGGCGCAAGCGUUAUCCGGAAUUAUUGGGCGUAAAGAGCUCGUAGGCGGUUUGUCGCGUCUGCCGUGAAAGUCCGGGGCUCAACUCCGGAUCUGCGGUGGGUACGGGCAGACUAGAGUGAUGUAGGGGAGACUGGAAUUCCUGGUGUAGCGGUGAAAUACGCAGAUAUCAGGAGGAACACCGACGGCGAAGGCAGGUCUCUGGGCAUUAACUGACGCUGAGGAGCGAAAGCAUGGGUAGCGAACAGGAUUAGAUACCCUGGUAGUCAACGCCGUAAACGGUGGGCACUAGGUGUGGGCAACAUUCCACGUUGUCCGUGCCGCAGCUAACGCAUUAAGUGCCCCGCCUGGGGAGUACGG
rnacentral:rRNA from 1 species